rnacentral:rRNA from 2 species
UCCGGUGAUGAUGGCGAUGAGGAUCCACCUGUUCCCAUACCGAACACAGAAGUUAAGCUCAUCUACGGCGAAAGUAGUUGGCACAGAGCGCCUGCGAGGAUAGCAAAUUGCCGGAU